rnacentral:rRNA from 1 species
CACGUAGGGUGCGAGCGUUGUCCGGAAUUAUUGGGCGUAAAGAGCUCGUAGGCGGUGUGUCGCGUCGGCCGUGAAAACCUGGGGCUUAACUCUGGGCUUGCGGUCGAUACGGGCAUCACUGGAGUUCGGCAGGGGAGACUGAAAUUCCUGGUGUAGCGGUGAAAUGCGCAGAUAUCAGGAGGAACACCGGUGGCGAAGGCGGGUCUCUGGGCCGAUACUGACGCUGAGGAGCGAAAGCGUGGGGAGCGAACAGG